rnacentral:ncRNA from 1 species
AAAAAGGCAAUGAUAGGGACAGUACUUUUUACAAGCUAUUUAAAAGCGAGUUAGGGACAGUGAAAGCCUGAUAUAUAGCUGUAUAAAGGAAUAUCACCCUAGAGCCUCACACCGAAAUAUAAUACCAACUACAAUUCUACAUAUAUGUGGUAACAUAGUUAGUGUGUUUUAGUAGGCUGUGACGAAUCAUUCACGUUACGAAUUUUAAGCGAACAGUUAUGUAACUGUUUAUCAGGGUGGUACCGCGGGUAAACCUUCUCGUCCCUACU